UACGGAGGGUGCAAGCAUUAAUCGGAUUUAUUGGGCGUAAAGGGCGCGUAGGCGGAGAUAUAAGUCAGAUGUGAAAUCCUGGGGCUCAACCCCAGAACUGCAUUUGAAACUGUAUCCCUAGAGGAUAGGAGGAGAAAACGGAAUUCCACAAGUAGCGGUGAAAUGCGUAGAUAUGUGGAAGAACACCGGUGGCGAAGGCGGUUUUCUAUCUUAUUCCUGACGCUGAGGCGCGAAAGCAAGGGGAUCAAACAGG
rnacentral:rRNA from 1 species